CCUCCUUAAGAACAUUCAUCCUCGGAUGUUCCUAAAACACACAAUUAACACAUGAAACGGAGAAAACUAACCUCAAAACAAAUAUGGAUACUGCUGGAGCAUAGACUCCCGCAUCUCCCAGGUGCACUCUUCUAGAUUAUGGUGGUUCCAUAGAACUUUCACCAUCGGAAUCUCCUUGUUCCUUAGCUGUCUGAUCUGCGUGUCCAGAAUCCGUACUGGCUGCUCUAUAUAGGUGAGAUCCGUAUGAAUCUCCACCUCAGGCUCAUUCAGAACCUGAUUUGGAUCUGACACAAACUGUCGUAGCAUAGAAACAUGAAAUACCGGGUGAAUCCUCUCCAUAGAAGCAGG
rnacentral:lncRNA from 1 species